GAUGAACGCUGGCGGCGUGCCUAAUACAUGCAAGUCGAGCGAACAGAUAAGGAGCUUGCUCCUUUGACGUUAGCGGCGGACGGGUGAGUAACACGUGGGUAACCUACCUAUAAGACUGGAAUAACUCCGGGAAACCGGGGCUAAUGCCGGAUAACAUGUUGAACCGCAUGGUUCUACAGUGAAAGGCGGCUUUGCUGUCACUUAUAGAUGGACCCGCGCCGUAUUAGCUAGUUGGUGAGGUAACGGCUCACCAAGGCAACGAUACGUAGCCGACCUGAGAGGGUGAUCGGCCACACUGGAACUGAGACACGGCCCAGACUCCUACGGGAGGCAGCAGUAGGGAAUCUUCCGCAAUGGGCGAAAGCCUGACGGAGCAACGCCGCGUGAGUGAUGAAGGUCUUCGGAUCGUAAAACUCUGUUAUUAGGGAAGAACAAAUGCGUAAGUAACUGUGCGCGUCUUGACGGUACCUAAUCAGAAAGCCACGGCUAACUACGU
rnacentral:rRNA from 1 species